UACGGAGGGUGCGAGCGUUACCCGGAUUUACUGGGUGUAAAGGGCGUGUAGGCGGCCUCUCAAGUCCGAUGCUAAAGACCGAAGCUCAACUUCGGGGGUGCGUUGGAUACUGUGAGGCUAGACGGUCGGAGAGGGUAGCGGAAUUUCCGGAGUAGCGGUGAAAUGCGCAGAUACCGGAAGGAACGCCAAUAGCGAAGGCCGCCACCUGGACGAUUUGUGACGCUGAGGCGCGAAAGCGUGGGGAGCAAACGGG
rnacentral:rRNA from 1 species